CCUACGGGCGGCAGCAGUGAGGAAUAUUGGUCAAUGGACGAGAGUCUGAACCAGCCAAGUAGCGUGAAGGAUGACUGCCCUAUGGGUUGUAAACUUCUUUUAUAUGGGAAUAAAAUGUUCCACGUGUGGGAUUUUGUAUGUACCAUAUGAAUAAGAAUCGGCUAACUCCGUGCCAGCAGCCGCGGUAAUACGGAGGAUCCGAGCGUUAUCCGGAUUUAUUGGGUUUAAAGGGAGCGUAGGUGGAUUGUUAAGUCAGUUGUGAAAGUUUGCGGCUCAACCGUAAAAUUGCAGUUGACACUGGCAGUCUUGAGUACAGUAGAGGUGGGCGGAAUUCGUGGUGUAGCGGUGAAAUGCUUAGAUAGCACGAAGAACUCCGAUUGCGAAGGCAGUUCACUGGACUGCAACUGACACUGAGGCUCGAAAGUGUGGGUAUCAAACAGGAUUAGAUACCCGUGUAGUC
rnacentral:rRNA from 1 species